UCUAUGAUUUUCUAUAAUGCUUUCCUUUCUUUACAUUUUGCUUUGUUCCUCGCUUUACAUUUUGCUCAGUUCCUUUCUUUAACAUAUUUUACUUAGUUGCUCGACAUCUCCUUUAUACAUGAUGUGCCAGAUUAAGACUAAAAAGGAGCUUGAUUGGCUAUAUUUCUCCAAGAGCAUUGUAGAAGUUGUAUUACAAGUUUAAUGACAUCCUUUUGAAAAAGAGUGACCAGAUUUUUUCUAAAAAGCACUAUCAUUUUAUCUGUUCAACCAACGAUGUAGAAAUGAAUUAUUAUCCAAGUUAAGUUUCUAUGCAAGUAAAAGAUCAUGGAAAUAUUAAACUAGAUGGACAGACUGUGUGAGUAGAUCUGAGUUACUUUAUAUUUUCAAAGAUGCUAUACUAUUAGGAAUAACAGAUGUUUGUGAGAGUUCAGAGAUUGCUCAAUGAGUUUGGAUGAUCAAUGUAUAAAGUGAAAAGGUAAGGAAUCUACUAUUGAGUGCCUGAGUCGGCAACUACUUUAAAACUAAGUUAACAAUAAAUAUAUACUCCUUUAAAUAAUAAAUGAGCUGUUUUUCCUCUUCCCAUAAGUAUGAUGGGCUAAUAAGCUUUGUUUCAUAGCUUGAAUUAGAUUUAACAGUUCCUUGGACUGUUGAUAGCAAAAGAAAUUUUGUGAUUCUUUAUGCAUUGAUAACACUGAAGGGCUGCUCAAUAAAAUUUCGAGAAUCCAGAGGAGAAGAAUCUGUGAAGGGGCUGUAGUAAUUGAGGUUGCCGGUGAUCUGACCACGACUUUGUCCCUGAUACGGAGUGAUCGGACUGUUGAAAAAUAUCAAGCUGAGGCAUGAAUAUUGACGAUCGAGUAGGAAGCUUCUGCACCAUCAGAGAUUAGAUUUGGAUGUGGUUGUGAGUUAUGUUCUUCUCUAUCACUUUGCUCAAUUUCUCCUGUAUUUCAAUUCGCCUUCUUCUUUUGCCUUUUCGUCUUCGCUAUAAUCCCUCUUUCUCUUCGUUACAGUUUCUCUAGCAUGUCCCUUGUUCAUUUAGUUAUUCCUUUUCUCUUUAUUUGUUCGGCUAUUGGCGUAUGUCAAUUUGGAUUUUGUGUUGGUUUCCUCGCUUGUACUUUUUAAUUUGUAGUUUGUUGUAUGCAAUAUUGGCCUUCAGAAAAGUUGCAUGUAUAAUAAUACAUAAACAGGCCCUUAAACUUGGCCUCAAUUGGCAAGUAUGCCCUCCAACUUUGUGUGUGCACAAGUAGGCACCUCAACUUGUAUUAAGUUGAACACUAACACAAAUGCUGACGUAGCACUGAUAUGGCACAUUUAUUUUGGAGUGUUCAAUUGAUAAAGUGGAGACAAGUUGAGUUGCCUACUUGUGCACAACCAAAGUUGGAGGGCAUACUUGCCAGCUGAGGCCAAGUUUGAAGGCCUGUUUAUGUAUUAUGCCUAUAUUUUGGGUUGAUGAUGUUGGCAGACAGAUCAAAUACAUGCCAAGAUUUAGUCAAUCGUAGAAGGGAUGCAGGGAUGUGUAUGACUAUGCCGAUCAUGAACAUGAUUUUCCUUCUGCUCUAUUUUUGUGAGUUUUUUUUUUCUUCUGCUAUACUACAUGUGGUUACUAUGCCAUCCAUUGUAUUAGUCUCUGAAACUAUAUUUUGAAUUGACUAAAGAACAGGAUAUUGUUAAUAUUUGUCGAGUGUUUAGUUUUCCUUGACAUGUCUUUAUGUGUUUGACACUUUAAAGAAGGAAAAAUAAUUAUGGGCAUCAUCAUGGAGAGUGCAGCGGCAUGGCUUAGUUCAUAAAGAUUUGUGUAAUAACAAUGGAUCAAUUUUCCAAGAAGAGAAUGUGUUUGAUAUAGUAGCUUAUGCACUACAAAUUCUAAGAAUAAAACAGUAAUUAUCGAAGUAAUAGGCUGUGGACAGUAUUAUGGCAUUCACAGAUGUCAUUGAGCUUUAGUAUCGUCGAGCCUUUUUUCCUUUUUUUUUUUUUUGAGUAAAAGGUAACUGCCUUUUUUUCUUUUUCGUUUUUGCACAAAUCAAAGAGGUUAUAGUCUAAUGAGAAACAAUUACCAAAUAAAAAAUUUAAAACAAUACAUGACAUACAUUGGUUGAAGUUGCAGGAUUUCCUGGUUUUCUAUAGUCCAGUUGGCACUGGCAUGGAUAUGGUAAAAAGGUCUAUCAAACUCUAGACAUAGCUCAAGAGGAUAUUUAAGCUAGGAAACUAUUAGUUCAGUUUGCAAUAAAUAAAUGUUGACAAUUAAAUCUCAUGGUACUGAAAUCCUAAUCUUUUGUUCGUAUUAUAAGUGAAGUGCAAAUUUUAUAAUUCAGACUGACCAUUGAUAUAGGGUCCCAAUUUAAAUGACGCCAAACUUUCAAAGCGUCUCCGCCGAGUUCCUAGUUGCUUCGCUCACUGGUUUGUCAUAUGAACUCCGAACUAUUAUUUUUUCUUUAGUAAAAUUCAAAAUUGUAAAGUUGCUGGUAGAAGGGGAGCCUUGGCGUAACUGGUAAAGUUGUUGUCAUGUGACCAGGAGGUCACGGGUUCGAGCCGUGGAAACAGCCUCUUGCAGAAAUGCAAGGUAAGGCUGCGUACAAUAGACCCUUGUGGUCCGGCCCUUCCCCGGACCCCGCGCAUAGCGGGAGCUUAGUGUAUCGGGCUGCCCUUUUUUAGUAAAAUUCAAAAUUGUAAGUUCCUCUUUCUGUCUAGCUAAUUGCUAUCCCUUUUACUUGGGAUACCCACUAAAAAUAGCCAAUCAAUAUGUUGUUCUUGUUUUGUCCUCUGGUGAAACACGACUCUCAAAGAAAGAACAAAUCAAAAGAGAAGCAGCACCUGGAACAAUAGAAAGAAGGUAAACAAUGCUAUUCGAGAUAAUUAUUUUUAAUAAAUUUUCUCAGUUAUGUUUGACUAUCAAGUUUAAUUAUAUGAUUCUCAUGGUUUUACCUUCGUGCCUCUUAGAUUUCUUUCCUCCAAGGAAAGGUAAGUUAAUUGCUUAACAUGCUGAACUCUAAGCAGUAUAUGCAGUUUAUCAUUUUAAUUUUACAUUUUUACCAUCUUAAAAGUAUUGGCUGGCGACCUGAAUAAUUUGGGAUUGGCGCAUAUUUAUAGAAUCCAAAAACUGCUGCAUGUAGGGUAAGAUCUUUUGGAGCAUAUAUAUCUGGCUCUAUAGGCGCUUGUGCCUGUGCAUGUAAGUAAAUCUACAUAUAUCAAGUUGGUGAUUUUUUUCCAAUUGGAUGUGCAGCUGGAUCCUAUUGUAAGUCUGACGACAAUUUCUUUUAUUUACCUUGGUAUUAUUCCUUGAUAAAUUUACAGCGAAAAGGUACUAACUGAUAAUUUUAAGUUUUCAAUUUUAGUGUGUGUUACUGAAACUGACUUUUAGUUGCAGUAAUACUCAACAACAAAAUUUCUGAAAUUAGGGCUGGUACUCCAUACAUUGGAUAUACAUCUAAGAAACAUGCUCUAUGGACAUCUCCCUGAUGCAGAACAGUAACUUGAGUGCAAAUUUGUGAAAAAGCCGAUGUCGGUGCAUCCAAAUUUCUGAAUUAUUAUAAUUAUGCAGUUGAGUUCAUUUUCUAACUUCAUAUAGGAAAGUACUCGAACUGGAUGAUACACAGUUACCCUCCAACAGAUGUUUAAUAGGACUUGAAAUGCAUUGCCACUAUGUAUUACAGCUAAUGAGAAUGAAUGGGGUGUUUAUGGUAUUCUAAUGCAGGUUAAUGCUUUUGUGAAUAUUCUUUCUGGGGGUUGCACUUGGCUGGUCUAUGUGGUACAAAAAUGAAGAUGAAGUGGCUGUAAAAUCUGCUGAAGAACACACCAAAACAUGUUGAGAUGGUUUGAGAAGCACCCCUAGUACUUCGAAAUGCCUCCUUGCUAUGUGGUUUCUGGAAUAGCGAAGGUUGGCUACUGAGUUGGGGACUAUAGCUCUAGCUCAUUUGAAAUGAUCAAUCAAGAAAUGCUUGAUGCAUUUUAUAUAUAAUUUUUGGAUAUUAUUACUACUAUAUAGAAAUGAGAAUGCUGGGGUUUUGUCAUCCUCACAAACUUGUAUCCCCCAUUGAAAGCUUGACAUGUGUUGUCCAACUUUUAGUUUUAUUGUCCCAUUUUAUUUUUCCCUUGAGUUAAUUUCAUAUUGCUUCAAUUGCCACCAUGUAAUUUUGUAAAUAAGAUCAACUUUUGAGACAUUUUGUUAGGCUAAUAUUACAAUUUCCAAC